AGGUACCGUAUGGGCUCUUUAGCAUUGUUUUAAUGUAAAUUGAAUGCAUCUUAAGUGAACCAUUUAGUGGGAUUGGGGUUUUUCUUUCUUAGUAUUUAGUUGAAGUAAUGGCAGUGAUUAAUUUAGAUUUUUAACAAGCUUUUGGUUUUUGCUGUAUGUGCUUUAUUUUGUGGCUAACCAGGAAAAUAAUUAAGUUGCUGAAUAAUGCGUUUUAUUUUAUUUGUUGAGUACGCAUCAGUUAUUUGCUGAACAAUGUAAAUUUUGUUGCAUUGUGUGCUGGAAAAUAUUUUUAGAGUUUUCUCUAUAAGCAUCAUUUGGUUUAGAGACAAUACCAUAGUUCAGA
rnacentral:misc_RNA from 1 species